rnacentral:lncRNA from 1 species
CGUCAAGCCAGAUACAGCAUUUACCAACUUUAAUAAGCCCAGCCUCACCAAUAAAUCAACUUUCUCACCUGUGCAUUUAUCUACACCUUCUGAAAAGAAGAGAGUCACUAGUUAUGUAAAGAUACAAGCAGCUGAAUGCUCUAUUGAUUCAGCAGAUUAAUUAUAUUCCUGUAGGAGAAAGUAACACAUAAUAUGCGCGAAAUAAUAUCGGACAAGGGAAAGGG